AGCCCUCAGGUAAAACUUCUUUCAGUCUGAAGCACAAGAUGAGCAAUGUGCUGCUGAGCUCCUCCUUUCAGACUUGUCUGAGUUGGAAACAGAAACAUGAAAGCAUUGUGAAGUAUUGGAGUAGCCUGCCUUGGUGAAUGAAGUAAGGACUCGAAAAGAAAAACCGAAUGCUGCCUAUAAAUACAGAGGUACGUAGGAUCCAUGCUUAUAUCUUGAUUCUGAAAGGUGUCCCUCACUUCAGUUCUUGUUCAAAACACUGAAG